rnacentral:lncRNA from 1 species
GCAGAGGACACGCCCACCCUGGUGCUCCACCCCUACCCCCACUGGCUCAUGUACAUCUGUUCAGAUGCAAAGGGUAAUUGCAGUGCAGGGGGCCAUGGACUUGGAGAACUCGAAGGGGCUUUGAAGCCACAGACUCCAAGUGUGGUCCCAAGACCAGCAGCGGUGGCAGCAUCUGGGAGGGUGACCAAUGCCCCCACUUUGCCCAGAUUGUCCAGGUUCAGCCCUGUAAAUCCAGGGUUCCGAGAAGUCCCUCAGUCCUACCCAAACCUGAGUUGGACCCCCAGGGCCUGACACCCUGGGCAUGGCGCUGAGCAUCCGUGGCCACCAGCCCUCCAGAGUCUGGUGCUCCUAGGAACCACUGCCCCACCCCUCAAAUGGGGAAACAGACCCCCAGGGAAGGGGAGCUGCUUGCCUCAACCCUAGGCAGCUGCUAAGGGGCUGAGCCAGGAGUCCAGUUAUUCAGCCUGUUAGCAGCAGAAGAAAGGUACUGAUAAGGACCCAGGCAAACUGCUGUGGUCAGUGGGCACUCGGUCAGCUAGAGAAGACGGGACAGCUGCCUUCAGAGAGGCUAGGAUCUCGCUGAGCCGGGAGCACCUGGCGAAGCAGCAAGGGGCUGGAGCGUCAGAAGCAAGGGCAGCCAGGCCAGGCCCUAAGGGAGGAGGCAGCAGGCAGGCAAUGAGGCCAAAGAGGAGAUGACCUUGCAGGCAGUUAGGAGGCUAAAGAAAAGACGUCCUUGGCUGAAGUGGGGCUUGGGGAGGCGCAGUCACCUCUUUGUACCCACAGACGUCUCUAGGACCCUAUGGCAGCGGUGAGUCCCACCCCAUCUGCAGUGUCUCUUCUCACAUGCUUUCACAGACCUUUGUCCCCACCGCUCCCUCUACCACAUCAGGGUAAAGUCAGCCAUGGGCAAUAGACUAUUCAAACAUGUACCUUCAAGAAGCUACAAGCACGGAGAGGUCAAGUAACUUGCCCAAAGACACACAGUGGAGAAAUGACAAGGCCCGGUUGCACAUCUAGGCAUCUGGUUCCAAACUGCUUCUGACACUUCUUUAGGGCCCUGUGUCCAGUGGGGGUGCAGUGGGGGAAGGAGCCCUGAACGGGGUGGGGGGGGGGCAGGAAACUGCCACCGCCAAUUAGUCAUGUGACUCGAGAGAGAGAUCAUUUAAUGACGUCUGUCUUAACCCCGACGUAUGCGAACUUCCGCAUCCCUUCUGAAAGACGUUAAAUUAAGUGAGCCCCGAGGUUCCCGCUGGCCCCGACGCUCUGUGUUCUGUCUUCUCGGCCACCGAUGGCUGAAACCUUACCCUUAGAGAUGUGUUUCUUUUUGUUAAACGCUGUCGUCUGUCAUCUGCCUGAACGCCUCCUUUUUUGGUUUGGCCAUACCUGUUGCAGGCAGAAGUUCCCAGGCCAGGAAUCAAACCUGAGCCACAGCAGUGACAAUAUGCCCAAUCCUUAACCACUAGGCCAUCAGGGAGCUCCUGAAUGUCCCUUUUAAAAAUACACUUUCCUUCAGAGGAUCCUGACUUGUUGGUUGAGGGUCUAGAGAAGGUUCUGGUGUGUGAGCCCAGUGGGCUCCGGUUGGGAGCGGAGGGCCAGGCAAAGGGAGAAGAGAUGCAGACGGGAGAGGCUGGGCCCUAAACAGUCAAUUUACCUGCAGCCCAGUGGCCGGAGCAUCCCUUGUCAGGGCUUCCCGUGUAAUAGCUCCCUGUCCAGCAGCCUGCCAACCCCAUCUAUCACCGUUUUUUUAGACUUUUUUUUAUAGGCUUCCUUUUUUCUCCUUCUGUAUUUUUUUUCCCCACCACCCUAUCUCUCCGACUCCAUCAGAGAAAAAUGGGUUUUGUCUUUUUUUAACAAGAAGACAAAGUCUUAAAUUACCUUCUUCAAGGUCUGCAAAUAGAAAUCCCAAAUAAGACAGCCACCUCUUCUUUUCUCCCUUCCUCUCUCCCUGUCUCAGGAGCCCGUGAGCUUGAAAUAAAACACAGAGCAGUGGCCCGGGAGGAAGUAAUCUGGGCUGGGCGGCACCAGCCGUGGCGAGGGGGUCGGGGGGAGGGGAAGGGCCCGGCUGGAUGGGGGGGGGGAAUGGGGGGGGAGGGGAUGGAGGGGGGCAGAACCAAGGCCUCCUUGCUCUGGGUCUGGAAUAAAAAGGGUCCCCCCAGGAGGUCCCCCUGUGGCACAAGGAAAUCGGUGGCAUCUCUGCAGCACCAGGAAGUAGGUUCAAUCCCUGGCCCUGGCUUAGUGGGUUAAAGGCUCUGGCAUUGCUGCAGCUGUGGAUCCAACCUGAUCCCUGGUACCUGGAACUCCACAUGCUGUGGGCAGGUCAAAAAAAAAAAAAAAAAAAAACUGUCCACCAAGGGGGGGUGGGGGGCUCCUUAAGGAGCAGCUACAGUGCACACCUGCAUGCAUGCAGGUGUUCAGGGGACAAGGAGCCCGGGGAGAGAAGGGCCUGCAGAAGCUGCUGCUGGGAUUCAGCUGCAGACAGGAUCACGGGGUACAGUGAACCUUCACCUUCUCACCCCACUGACGUCAUGGUUCCCCGAAAGCAGGCAUCAGGACAGGGGGAAGGAGCACAGUUCUGGGACAAAGACUAGGGCUGGAGUUCUGGUUCUAAUCCCCGCCACAUGUAAUAAUAGUAGCCAGUGGUUUUGAGCCCUCACCCUGUGCCGGGGACUGGGGUCAGCCCCUCGCGUAGAGCAUCCCAUUUAACCUGCAGGACAGCCCUGCCCUUGGCAUCAUCAUUUUCUCCGUGAUGAUGGGGGCCCUGAGCAUGAGAGGUCACAGAACUACCCCUGUUCUCACAGAUCUGGUGACAGAUCAGGAUCUGAACCCAGGGCGUCAGACUGCAGGGCUCCUGUUUUCCUCCUGCUGAACCGCUCAGCCUGCUGACCUGCUUCCUCCUUAGGAAUGUUGAAGUGCAGGAGAUGGCCUGGGGAUUGUCAAGGCCUUUCCCAACACGGAUGCUCUGAUUUGGGGCUCAAGCCUCAUCUGGGCCUAUAGAGAUCCUGUUCAAAGAUGCAGGGUUCCACUGCGAAGCAGGCACACAGAGUAGGGGGUAGGGGGCGGUGUAUAGGGCAGGUGAACUUGUGUCCUGCAACCCUAAUGCCUCAGGGAGAAAACAAGAACACAACAGGACACUACAAAGUCAGUAGGAAGGCCUGUAGGUUGGACUUGCAUUGAAAAGUCCAAACCAGAAUUCCCGUCACGGCUCAGCGGAAACAAAUCUGACUAGCAUCCAUGACAACACAGGUUCGAUCCCUGGCCUCGCUCAGUGGGUUAAGGAUCCGGGCUACAGCUCCGAUUGGACCCCUAGCCUAGGAACCUCCAUAUGCCAUGAGAGCAACCCUAAAAAAAAAAAAAGAAAAAAA